GAUGAACGCUAGCUACAGGCUUAACACAUGCAAGUCGCGGGGCAGCAUGGAUGUCCUUUCGGGGACAUCUGAUGGCGACCGGCGUACGGGUGAGUAACGCGUAUCCAACCUGCCCUUUACAACGGGACAGCCCGUCGAAAGGCGGAUUAAUACCGUAUGUUGUCAUGUUGAUGCAUAGUUUCAUGACCAAAGGCUUCGGCCGGUAAAGGAUGGGGAUGCGUCUGAUUAGCUUGCCGGCGGGGUAACGGCCCACCGGGGCGACGAUCAGUAGGGGUUCUGAGAGGAAGGUCCCCCACAUUGGAACUGAGACACGGUCCAA
rnacentral:rRNA from 1 species